UUUUAUAAAUUAAAUAGGUACUUAUCCACACAUGAAAUAACAUGUCAGAAAAACAAAAAAUAAAGAGUAAACUCAAAUAGUUAGUUAAAGAAACAUAUCUUUAGAAGAAAAACUAUUAAUGCAUAGUAUAGUUUGUAUGGUUUCAUUUUAUCCUCGGAGAUUGUAUACCUUUAAGAGUUAAACAAACAAUAAUGAAUCUUCUGCAUAAAUAGGGUCUCCUCAUGAGGUUUUCUUUGAGAGGAAGAUCACUGAGAAGUCUAGUGUCGGAUUACGUGUUGUCCAAACGAAAAAAAGUAUGAUGAACAAUAAUAAUAUUGUCCAUAUUUGCGACACCUGCAGGCGACAGUUCCCAACCCUUAAGGCCCUAUACGGUCACCAAAGAGUCCACACGCGUGAAAGAGAGUUGGAGAGGCAGCUGAAGAGGACGAAGCCAAGUUAUCCUCCUGGACAAGGCACUAAUUAUGGAUUUUCUCCAGGGACACCCUUAGUCACUCACAACCAUUACCACCCUACUUUAUCAAAUUUUAAUCGUCCGGGGAUCUCUUUUGGUCCUUUUAAGUCUGGAGGAGGCGGUAACCGCCGUGACUACCCGUAUCCGUUGUUCAAUGGUGGAAUCGCCAUGGCUCCUCCUGCGAAUCCAUACCGUUCUCUCACACAGAACACUAGCUAUGGUUCUUCUUCAAGAGUUCCCUUACCAUCUUUCAGGUAUAAUAACUCUCUUGGUUCAGCCAAUUCCAUAGGAAGAUUCAGCAACAACAACAACAACAACAACAACAACAAUAGCUCACAAGGUGAAUUAUCACUUGAGCUCUCUCUUGGUCCAUCUAAGUCCAUGGGUGGCAGCAACAAUAACAGCAGCGCUUACCCAUCUUUUAAUUGCGGAGUCACUGGAGGAGGAAACAUGUACACGAACAUGCCAGUGCGUCCUCGUGUGCCUGGGUACCAUUUUUACAGAAAUAACCCGAUUGAUUCAAUUACUAGAAACUUUCCUCUCUCUCAUCCUCCUCCAGCCACGAACAUGAUGAACAGGCUAGUGCGUCCUCGUGCGUCUCGGUUCCAUUUUCAAGGUCAUAACCCGCUUGACACAAUCAUUAGAAACGUUUCUCUCUCUCAGCCUCCUCCAACCACCAAUAUUCCUGAUGAUAAUAAUAUUUCGGGCUCUAGUCUCAUUGCAAAGGAGAAAGACAAAACCGUGGUGCUUGACGAUGAUGACAAAGAUAACGUGGUGAUUGUAGAUCAUGAUGAGGAUCAACAGGAAGAGGUUGAAGCUAAGAGUUGUGGUCGUGGUUUAAUCAUUAGAAACGUUCCUCUCUCUCAGCCUCCUCCAACCACGAACAUGAACAGGCUAGUGCGUCCCCGUGCGUCUCGGUUCCAUUUUCACGGCCAUAACCCGCUUGAUUCAAUCAUUCAAAACGUUUCUCUCUCUCAACCUCCUUCAACCACCAAUCUUCCUGAUGAUAAUAAUGUUUCGGGCUCUAGUCUCAUUGUAAAGGAGAAAGACAAAACCGUGGUGCUUGAAGAUGAUGAGAAAGAUAAUGUGGUGAUUGUAGAUCAUGAUGAGGGUCAGCAGGAAGAGAGCGAUGCUAAGUGUUGUGGUCGUGAUUCAAUCAUUAGCAACGUUCCUCUCUCUCAGCCUCCUCCAACCACCAAUCUUCCUGAUGAUAAUAAUGUUUCGGCCUCUAGUCUCAUUACAAAGGAGAAAGACAAAACCGUGGUGCUUGACGAUGAUGAGAAAGAUAACGUGGGGAUUCUAGAUCAUGAUGAGGAUCAGCAGGACGUGAAGCUAAGAGUUGUGGUCGUGAUUGAUUAUUUAUCAUCUUCCCUUUG
rnacentral:lncRNA from 1 species